AGAGUUUGAUCAUGGCUCAGGACGAACGCUGGCGGCACGCUUAACACAUGCAAGUCGAACGAGAGAAGAGGAGCUUGCUUUUCUGAUCUAGUGGCGGACGGGUGAGUAACACGUGAGCAAUCUGCCUUUCAGAGGGGGAUACCGAUUGGAAACGAUCGUUAAUACCGCAUAACAUAAUUGAACCGCAUGAUUUGAUUAUCAAAGAUUUAUCGCUGAAAGAUGAGCUCGCGUCUGAUUAGCUAGUUGGUAAGGUAACGGCUUACCAAGGCGACGAUCAGUAGCCGGACUGAGAGGUUGAUCGGCCACAUUGGGACUGAGACACGGCCCAGACUCCUACGGGAGGCAGCAGUGGGGAAUAUUGCACAAUGGAGGAAACUCUGAUGCAGCGAUGCCGCGUGAGGGAAGAAGGUUUUAGGAUUGUAAACCUCUGUCUUCAGGGACGAAAAAAGACGGUACCUGAGGAGGAAGCUCCGGCUAACUACGUGCCAGCAGCCGCGGUAAUACGUAGGGAGCGAGCGUUGUCCGGAAUUACUGGGUGUAAAGGGAGCGUAGGCGGGAUCGCAAGUCAGAUGUGAAAACUAUGGGCUUAACCCAUAAACUGCAUUUGAAACUGUGGUUCUUGAGUGAAGUAGAGGUAAGCGGAAUUCCUAGUGUAGCGGUGAAAUGCGUAGAUAUUAGGAGGAACAUCAGUGGCGAAGGCGGCUUACUGGGCUUUAACUGACGCUGAGGCUCGAAAGCGUGGGGAGCAAACAGGAUUAGAUACCCUGGUAGUCCACGCCGUAAACGAUGAUUACUAGGUGUGGGGGGACUGACCCCUUCCGUGCCGCAGCAAACGCAAUAAGUAAUCCACCUGGGGAGUACGACCGCAAGGUUGAAACUCAAAGGAAUUGACGGGGGCCCGCACAAGCAGUGGAGUAUGUGGAUUAAUUCGAAGCAACGCGAAGAACCUUACCAGGUCUUGACAUCGUAUGCAUAGCUCAGAGAUGAGUGAAAUCUCCUCGGAGACAUAUAGACAGGUGGUGCAUGGUUGUCGUCAGCUCGUGUCGUGAGAUGUUGGGUUAAGUCCCGCAACGAGCGCAACCCUUACUGUUAGUUGCUACGCAAGAGCACUCUAGCAGGACUGCCGUUGACAAAACGGAGGAAGGUGGGGAUGACGUCAAAUCAUCAUGCCCCUUAUGACCUGGGCCUCACACGUACUACAAUGGCUGUCAACAGAGGGAAGCAAAGCCGCGAGGUGGAGCGAACCCCUAAAAGCAGUCUUAGUUCGGAUUGUAGGCUGCAACCCGCCUACAUGAAGUCGGAAUUGCUAGUAAUCGCAGAUCAGCAUGCUGCGGUGAAUACGUUCCCGGGCCUUGUACACACCGCCCGUCACGCCAUGGGAGUCGGUAACACCCGAAGCCUGUAGUCUAACCGCAAGGAGGACGCAGUCGAAGGUGGGAUUGAUGACUGGGGUGAAGUCGUAACAAGGUA
rnacentral:rRNA from 1 species